rnacentral:rRNA from 1 species
GAAAGUGAAAGGGGGGCGUCCCGGGGCUUCCUUCGCGGGAGCCCCGGUCGGCGCCCUCCGGGGCCGAUCCUCGACAGACCGUCGCCGCCGGUGUCUCUUCCCACACCAAAGCGGGGCCAAGACGGGAGCGGCGCGGGGUGAGACCCUUUCCCCCGUCGUCCGACUCCCGGCCCCGUGGGUACCCGGCGAGCGCGGCAGUCCGGUGGUCCCUCUCCUCUCGGGGGGAGGAGGCCACCGCCUGUACGCAGGGGGGCGCAGGCCCGGGACUUGCCAUUAGACGCCGUCGCGCAAAUCUGUUGUUGGCCUCGCCGGCUCUGCUUGGGCUCUCGGUUGGCGGGCCGCGCGUCAGGCGGGCUUUA